UUAAACAAAACAAAUGGAAAGUGAGAGAAAAGCAAGAAAAUACAGAUGAAAAGAAAAUCUGCGGUAAAAAUGCACCGCUGAAACAAAAACGAAUAAGAAAGUGUAAUGAAACGAUGAGAUAAUUUUGUGUUUUUGUGAGCCCGCAAUUAUGCUGCACCCACCCUCUACCACUACUACCACUACUACUACUACUCCUACCACUGCAAUUUAUGAGCAGUAGGUGACAGAAACGAAGAAGCGCAAACACCUGGAGAUAGGUGAGCUUGAUAGGAAGUUACAAGUAGAAUAUGAAGCAAAACUCAAAGACUCACUGAGAGAACUUGAGAGGACUGUGAAGAACAACUCAAGAACAUUACGCCCUAAGUGGACGACCUGUACGAGGCCAAGGUGACCCAUGAACUACCUCUAACAAUGGUGAUGAAGAACCAGAAGUGGGUUGUAGGUGACGAGAUAACUAUCCCAGGUCAUCCCGGAAGUGGCGAGGUGACCCCAUACAGCUCCACAAGGUCGUGGAGGACACCAGACAUAGCCACGUGGUCGCCUACACUCAGCCAUCCACCUCACCUGCCCCAGACUGCUACCCGGACACCAUCCAGCCACAAGAACCCAGAUAAGCACUUCCGGGGUCCUUGGUUGUGGUUAGCUAGCUAGUUUGUUUAGGGGUCACUUGCUGUACAUAGGAACCCUCCUCGGUCUGAUGCUAUUUUUUUUAUUUUUAUUUUUGAGGUGUAACGCUGUCCUCUACGUGAGAGUGAUAGUGUUUAUCUUUAUUUAUUUAUUUUUUUUUUCCUGAAGACCAGUUCUGAUGUUAUCUUGGAGGUUAACGGAGAAGAGUUCUUCACACCUGUGUUUGUUGUUUUAUUUUAUUUUUUUAUUGGUCACUUUUUUUUUUUUUUUGUGAUUGUUAUUAAUUUUAUUUAUUUGUAUUGAAAUAUGUGAGUGUGAAUGCAGCACAAUAUAUAAAGGUGUGCAUUCCAGAGUGAAAGGAAGGCGUGCACAGGGUAGAGUGCACAGGAUGCAGUGCCUUGUUUUUAUCACCAGACCUUGAUUGACUGAAGCAAAUGAAAACUUUGGUAUAAAUUGUUAUCUUUCCAAGGGUUGAGGAGAACAUGGUCGUGGUUCAAGUGAAGCCACUACAGCCACUCCCUGACAAGCCUUCCACACCGACAGACAGUGGCAGCAGACACACAAGAGACGAUGGUGUGGUGGACAAGAAGAUGCAGGGAGACAGCAGACAGAAUGGAAGCUACAGAUGAAAGAAGAGCAGGUCAAGCCAUGGCAGCAGACACAUAGACAGACAGAUUGGAUAAGAAAGAAGUAUUAUUUAGUGAGACAGGACCACUGGAAGCUGUCAGAGUGCUGUGGCACGUGGCAAGAACCAAGUGUUCAGGAGCACACACUGUCCCUUCACCAGUCAGCAGGUCUGGGCGGCUUGGAAGCCUCACUACAAACUGAAGACCCGUUCACUUGAAGGACACAGUUGGAGUCGGACACAAGAUCCAAGAGGGAGUUAUUUUUAAACGAGAGCUUCAGGCAGAAAAUUCGAGUGGAUUUUCAACUCUAAAAAUAACUUUUUUGGGGGGAUAUUUUGAACCUUCUUUAUCUUGAAAAAUAACUCCAGAUAUUAUGACUCUAGCUGGAAGUUGACCUGAGCAAUGUAGGGUUUGCUGCAGUGAGAUUACCAAGGCACGAGUGUCUGGGAUUUAAAAAUGAUGGAUAUGUGUCCUGUGUGCUGCUGUGCUGGGAGGAGAGGAGCAGCAGCAGUCGUGGGGCUCUGUUGCUGCUGUCAUUGGUGCAGCCGUUCACUCCUGCAGCUACCUUCCCUCAACAUACUGUGUCUUCCCUCACCUGCAAUGAACAACUAUGAACAAUACUUCUCCUGCGAUGAGGAACAGUGAAUAACACCUCUCUCUCUCUCUCUCUCUCUCUCUCUCUCUCUCUCUCUCUCUCUCUCUCUCUCUCUCUCUCUCUCUCUCUCUCUCUCUCUCUCUCUC